rnacentral:sRNA from 1 species
UGACCCUAUGGGUCACCUAGCCAACUGACGUUGUUAGUGAACAAAGUAUUCACAAGAAUAGCCAAUAGACACUUUCUACUGGCUUUUUUUUU